rnacentral:rRNA from 1 species
UACGGGGGGGGCAAGCGUUGUUCGGAAUUACUGGGCGUAAAGGGUUUGUAGGCGGCCUUGUAAGUCAGGUGUGAAAUCCCUCGGCUCAACCGAGGAACAGCGCUUGAUACUGCAAGGCUUGAGGGAGACAGGGGUAAGCGGAACUGAUGGUGGAGCGGUGAAAUGCGUUGAUAUCAUCAGGAACACCGGUGGCGAAAGCGGCUUACUGGGUCUCUUCUGACGCUGAGGAACGAAAGCUAGGGUAGCGAACGGG